rnacentral:rRNA from 1 species
UACGGGGGGGGCAAGCGUUGUUCGGAAUUACUGGGCGUAAAGGGUUCGUAGGUGGCCAACUAAGUCAGACGUGAAAUCCCCAGGCUCAACUUGGGAACUGCGUCUGAUACUGGAUGGCUUGAAUUCGGGAGAGGGAUGCAGAAUUCCAGGUGUAGCGGUGAAAUGCGUAGAUAUCUGGAGGAAUACCGGUGGCGAAGGCGGCAUCCUGGACCGAGAUUGACGCUGAGGCGCGAAAGCCAGGGGAGCAAACGGG